rnacentral:rRNA from 1 species
GAUGAACGCUGGCGGCGUGCCUAAUACAUGCAAGUCGAGCGAACGGACGAGAAGCUUGCUUCUCUGAUGUUAGCGGCGGACGGGUGAGUAACACGUGGAUAAUCUACCUAUAAGACUGGGAUAACUUCGGGAAACCGGCGCUAAUACCGGAUAAUAUUUUGAACCGCAUGGUUCAAAAGUGAAAGACGGUCUUGCUGUCACGUAUAGAUGGAUCCGCGCUGCAUUAGCUAGUUGGUAAGGUAACGGCCUACCAAGGCAACGAUGCAUAGCCGACCUGAGAGGGUGAUCGGCCACACUGGAACUGGGACGCGGUCCAGACUCCUACGGGAGGCAGCAGUAGGGAAUCUUCCGCAAUGGGCGAGAGCCUGACGGAGCGACGCCGCGUGAGUGAUGAAGGUCUUCGGAUCGUAAAACUCUGUUAUUAGGGAAGAACAUAUGUGUAAGUAGCUGUGCACAUCGUGACGGUACCGAAUCAGAAAGCCACGGCUAACUACGUG